GCCGGGAUAGCUCAGUUGGUAGAGCAGAGG
rnacentral:tRNA from 8 species